UAUAUAUUAGUCUAUGGUUCAGUUCGUUCAUGCCUAUAAAAAGUUUGUUUCAUGGAAGUUGCUAGUUGCUCGUGUGAAUUUUGAAAGUUUGAAUUAUUUAGAACUUUUCUAAAAUAAAUUAAUCUGCACCUACUCUCUUUUGCUUGUUUUAUUUAUUGGAUUUUACAUUUAAAAAUAAAGUGAAACCGUAAUAUCACAAACUUACGAAGUCAAUAUAAUAACAACCAGUGGCAACUAACUAUUCGAAGUGUAUUCAUUGAGUGGACCCUCGGUGCAGGAAGUCAUUUUAUCAACGAUGAUACGACUAUUGAUUCGUUUAAGCCUCGUUUUGCUUGUGUCGUACCAGUUGGCGACACCAUGCGAGGCGAUCAGGGGCUACGGUAUCCCUGGCAUUCCGGGUAUGCCUGAAGUCCUGGGUAUAGCCGGGGCUAUAAAACACCAAUGCAGCCUAAGACGUUCUCUGGUACAUCGCCAGGACUGGCUUCGCAGCCCGCUACACGACGUGGUCUGGGUAUUUCCGCUUGGGGUAUCGUCAUUCUCAUCGUGUCUUUGAUUCUGGCCGGUAUGGGCUUCUACUAUUUCUCGAUUUGCUACCCAAGCAUCUGCAUGAACAGAAACAAGUACAACAUGAUGAGUAUGCCUGCUAUGGUUUGAUAUUAUAGAGAUAAGAAUAAAAUAGUCCAGUGUUCCGUGCAUUUAUAUAAAUACCAUAUACACAAAUACUACAUGUUGUUAUAUGAGAAAGAAAAUGAAUCUCCUUAAUAGCAAGUGCUCGAUAUACAUUGCCUCUAAGCAACCUAGAUCCUAAAAUUUUAUUUUUAAAAUAUCUUAAAUCUCUUUUAAAUGUAAAAGGCAGGUUUCGGGUUAAUUAUCUAAAUCUUGUUUCAUCCAUACACAAUGAUAGUGUCAAGGAAAUUGUAAUCUUGAUAAAGUAAAUCCAUUGUCAGACUGCAAUGUGAAGGUUGUGAGCUAUGUAUGCAAAACUGAACCCAAUUUUACACCAACCCACAUAUUAGGACUUGCUACUAUAACAAUUUUUGAUACUAAAUAGUAAAAGUAUGUAGUGAUUAAUAUCAGCCUGACAAAAAUACUGUCAGGUUCUUUGAAAAGUAUAUUAUUAUUAACAGGUUCUACUUUAUAAAAAAAAAAUUGAGACUGAUAUGACCAGCUUUUGGAAUUAUAGUAUGUGAUAAUUGUUCAACGUUGAAAUUAGGUCAUAUGUGCUAAAAGAGAUUAACAACAUAUCAAAGUAAUCCAUCAUGUGCCUUAGCCCUAAAGCCAUGGAUUAAAACGUAGGACUUAAAGAUAACUUUCAUGACCAAAAAUACACAAUUUUAUACAUUUGGUUCUUACAUUUCUAUGAUUUUGGAAAUGUAUUUCAAGUUAUUCACAAAAAAAUUUAAAUGUCUUGUAAAAAUAUCAUAAAAUUACUUAUAUAAUUGGAUAUUCUCAAAGUUGCACAUCAAUUUUAUACUUUUCAACAUUUAUGUGUUCAGUUUUAGAUGUAUAAGAUGCAAUUGUAUCCUCAAUAUAACUUGUUUACUUGUUCAUAAAUAGCAAAA
rnacentral:sRNA from 1 species